UUCAAUCGCAGACUGUGCAGGGAAAGGAGAUAUUGGGACCCACUCAACCCACUACAUGUCAGUGAUGAACACCUGGUGCAGGUGUAUAGAUUUCCCCGUCAGGAAAUCAUCAGGCUCUGCGAUGAGCUGCGCCCCCACCUGGAAAGGAGAACCAGGAGGGCACAUGCACUCCCAACACACACCCAGGAGACAGUGCGUAUCCUCUGGAGCCAUUCCUGAUGACCCCAGUUGCAUGCCCGACAACACUUGGGGAGGAACGAUACAAGCCCUCGCAGGACAAGAUGCGUUGUCGAACCGACCUUUGGGAUCCUCAAGUCAAGGUGCAGGUGCCUACAUAAGUCAGGAGGAAGUUUGCAGUAUGACCCCAAGAAGACUAUGAAGAUUGCGACUUCUUGUAUGCUCCUGUACAACUACUGAGUGGAUCGCUGCAGAAGAAGUACCAGUUCAGCCUGUGAGAAACAACAGACAGAUUCCUGGUCAAGUUGUCAGGCAGGAAAUUAUUAGAAACUUCUUUUCCUGAGUACAGGUAGGCAUAUAUGUAGACCUUGCAGUUAGUAAUAGAUUACUUUCAAAUGUAAAUGUGCACAACUCACACUCGGAGGCAUAAGAACAAAACAACGUGGUGAUCCAGAGGACUUGACUCCCACUGCAAGACGUUGAGAGUUUUCAACCAUUGACAAGUGGCGGAGGGUUACCAACAUGCUGCCUAACAGAUCUUCAAGAGGGGCACCACCUCCACACCACACAUUCUUAUCACCUAGUUUGAUAACCUACGUACUUGUCCAUCUCACAUGGCCCAUGUAUCUCAGCAUUCUGCACUCUUGGCUCCAUGUCAUCCUCUUCAACUUGUUGCUUCGAAUAGCAUAACUGGCCUCACAUACAUAGAAGUGUUCAAUAUACCUAGGCUAUAAUAUUAUAUUUAAGGACUCCUAUACGAGGUAUCGCCCCAGACAGAGGUGUCGAAGUAAGUCUGUCUGAUGGUAGGCUGGCUGACUGCUGUCGGGACCCAAGCCAGCAUGCCCUGGGG